rnacentral:rRNA from 1 species
AGUGAACGCUGGCGGUAGGCCUAACACAUGCCAGUCGAACGGCAGCACAGUAAGAGCUUGCUCUUACGGGUGGCGAGUGGCGGACGGGUGAGGAAUACAUCGGAAUCUACUUUUUCGUGGGGGAUAACGUAGGGAAACUUACGCUAAUACCGCAUACGACCUACGGGUGAAAGCAGGGGAUCUUCGGACCUUGCGCGAUUGAAUGAGCCGAUGUCGGAUUAGCUAGUUGGCGGGUAAAGGCCAACCAAGGCGACGAUCCGUAGCUGGUCUGAGAGGAUGAUCAGCCACACUGGAACUGAGACACGGUCCAGACUCCUACGGGAGGCAGCAGUGGGGAAUAUUGGACAAUGGGCGCAAGCCUGAUCCAGCCAUACCGCGUGGGUGAAGAAGGCCUUCGGGUUGUAAAGCCCUUUUGUUGGGAAAGAAAAGCAGCAGGUUAAUACCCCGCUGUUCUGACGGUACCCAAAGAAUAAGCACCGGCUAACUUCGUG